rnacentral:rRNA from 1 species
AGUGAACGCUGGCGGUAGGCCUAACACAUGCAAGUCGAACGGCAGCACAGUAAGAGCUUGCUCUUACGGGUGGCGAGUGGCGGACGGGUGAGGAAUACAUCGGAAUCUACUUUUUCGUGGGGGAUAACGUAGGGAAACUUACGCUAAUACCGCAUACGACCUACGGGUGAAAGCAGGGGAUCUUCGGACCUUGCGCGAUUGAAUGAGCCGAUGUCGGAUUAGCUAGUUGGCGGGUAAGGCCCACCAAGGCGACGAUCCGUAGCUGGUCUGAGAGGAUGAUCAGCCACACUGGAACUGAGACACGGUCCAGACUCCUACGGGAGGCAGCAGUGGGGAAUAUUGGACAAUGGGCGCAAGCCUGAUCCAGCCAUACCGCGUGGGUGAAGAAGGCCUUCGGGUUGUAAAGCCCUUUUGUUGGGAAAGAAAAGCAGCAGGUUAAUACCCCGCUGUUCUGACGGUACCCAAAGAAUAAGCACCGGCUAACUUCGUG